rnacentral:rRNA from 1 species
CCUACGGGAGGCAGCAGUGAGGAAUAUUGGUCAAUGGACGAGAGUCUGAACCAGCCAAGUAGCGUGAAGGAUGACUGCCCUAUGGGUUGUAAACUUCGUUUAUAAAGGAAUAAAACGAGGCACGUGUGCCUGUUUGCAUGUACUUUAUGAAUAAGGAUCGGCUAACUCCGUGCCAGCAGCCGCGGUAAUACGGAGGAUCCGAGCGUUAUCCGGAUUUAUUGGGUUUAAAGGGAGCGUAGAUGGGGUGUUAAGUCAGUUGUGAAAGUUUGCGGCUCAACCGUAAAAUUGCAAUUGAUACUGGCAUUCGUGAGUACAGUUGAGGUAGGCGGAAUUCGGGGUGUAGCGGUGAAAUGCUUAGAUAUCACGAAGAACCCCGAUUGCGAAGGCAGCUUACUAAACUGUGACUGACAUUGAUGCUCGAAAGUGUGGGUAUCAAACAGGAUUAGAUACCCUUGUAGUC